rnacentral:lncRNA from 1 species
UCAGGUGAGGCAGAAGAUGCAGAGCAGCGCUAAACUCUUCCAGACAGCGACAACCAACCUAUAAGAAGCAGGCAGUCUUCUCUGUGCAGUUACAGCUCUACCAGCCCUAGGUCCCAGCAGUGCAGGCAAGAGCCUGCAGUGCUGGGUACAAGCCAGGUCGAUCUAUCAGAAACCCUUAUCCUGUCUCCAGUGAACACUGAGCUUUCACAGAACAAUUGUUGGAAUGUAAGGAGAAAGAGUUUUCUCUCUGAGACAAGGAACAGAAUCCAUUUAAAGGGAUGGAAGAUUGAUGUCCAUGGCAUCCUCUGAACCUAAGAUCCUAAGACAUGUCACCCAUAAUCUGGUCACACCAUCCAAAAGAAACCCUGAAGGCACAGGAACAUGAAAUGUUCAAACAUACUUUGAAGACA